GACGAACCGUGCGAACGUUGUUCGGAAUCACUGGGCUUAAAGGGCGCGUAGGCGGGCCGGCAGGUCAGGGGUGAAAGCCCGCGGCUCAACCGCGGAAGCGCCCCUGAUACCGCCGGCCUCGAGGGGGGCAGGGGCGUGCGGAACUUCCGGUGGAGCGGUGAAAUGCGUAGAUAUCGGAAGGAACACCGGUGGCGAAAGCGGCGCGCUGGACCUCUUCUGACGCUGAGGCGCGAAAGCCAGGGGAGCAAACGGG
rnacentral:rRNA from 1 species